CGAAACCUGCCCAGCAGAACGACCUGCGAACACGUGAUGCCCCCGGUUGCGCUGGAAGGGGAGCCGUCUACCGACCGCUCCCUGCCCGGAAAAACGAACCCCCGGCGCGAUCCGCGCCAAGGAAAACGAACAAUGGAUCGGGCGCCCCGCAAGGAUGCGCCCCCCGAAAUCUUAA
rnacentral:rRNA from 2 species